rnacentral:rRNA from 1 species
AUGAACGCUGGCGGCGUGCCUAAUACAUGCAAGUCGCGCGAACAGACGAGGAGCUUGCUCUUCUGACGUUAGCGGCGGACGGGUGAGUAACACGUGGAUAACCUACCUAUAAGACUGGGAUAACUUCGGGAAACCGGAGCUAAUACCGGAUAAUAUAUUGAACCGCAUGGUUCAAUAGUGAAAGACGGUUUUGCUGUCACUUAUAGAUGGAUCCGCGCCGCAUUAGCUAGUUGGUAAGGUAACGGCUUACCAAGGCAACGAUGCGUAGCCGACCUGAGAGGGUGAUCGGCCACACUGGAACUGAGACACGGUCCAGACUCCUACGGGAGGCAGCAGUAGGGAAUCUUCCGCAAUGGGCGAAAGCCUGACGGAGCAACGCCGCGUGAGUGAUGAAGGUCUUCGGAUCGUAAAACUCUGUUAUUAGGGAAGAACAAAUGUGUAAGUAACUAUGCACGUCUUGACGGUACCUAAUCAGAAAGCCACGGCUAACUACGUG